GACGAAGGGGGCUAGCGUUGCUCGGAAUCACUGGGCGUAAAGGGUGCGUAGGCGGGUCUUUAAGUCAGGGGUGAAAUCCUGGAGCUCAACUCCAGAACUGCCUUUGAUACUGAAGAUCUUGAGUUCGGGAGAGGUGAGUGGAACUGCGAGUGUAGAGGUGAAAAUUCGUAGAUAUUCGCAAGAACACCAGUGGCGAAGGCGGCUCACUGGCCCGAUACUGACGCUGAUGCACGAAAGCGUGGGGAGCAAACAGG
rnacentral:rRNA from 1 species